rnacentral:rRNA from 1 species
UCCUACGGGGGGCAGCAGUGAGGAAUAUUGGUCAAUGGGCGCAAGCCUGAACCAGCCAAGUCGCGUGAGGGAAGACGGCCCUACGGGUUGUAAACCUCUUUUGCCGGGGAGCAAGCCUGAGCACGUGUGCCCAGGCGGAGAGUACCUGAAGAAAAAGCAUCGGCUAACUCCGUGCCGGCAGCCGCGGUAAUACGGAGGAUGCGAGCGUUAUCCGGAUUUAUUGGGUUUAAAGGGUGCGUAGGCGGAAUAUCAAGUCAGCGGUAAAAAUUCGGGGCUCAACCCCGUCGUGCCGUUGAAACUGAUGU